rnacentral:rRNA from 1 species
GGGUGAGUAACACGUAGGUGACCUUCCGAAUAGUGGGGGAUAACUCGGAGAAAUCCGGGCUAAUACCGCAUAUGUACGACAAAUCUGAGAGUAGUCGUAGAAAGAAUGCCUCUACUUGUAAGCAUUCGCUAAUCGAUGGGCCUGCGUAGCAUUAGCUUGUUGGUGGGGUAAUGGCCUACCAAGGCUACGAUGCUUAACGGAUCUGAGAGGAUGGUCCGUCACACUGGAACUGAGACACGGUCCAGACUCC